rnacentral:rRNA from 1 species
AAGGGUCCGGUAGGCGGAUCUUUAAGUCAGUGGUGAAAGCCCACAGCUCAACUGUGGAACUGCCAUUGAUACUGGAGAUCUUGAGUGUAGUAGAAGUAGGCGGAAUAGGGCAUGUAGCGGUGAAAUGCAUAGAUAUGCCCUAGAACACCGAUUGCGAAGGCAGCUUACUAUGUUACAACUGACGCUGAGGGACGAAAGCGUGGGGAGCAAACAGGAUUAGAUACCCUUGU